AAACUACUCCCUUCGUUCAGAAUUACUUGUCACAGAAAUGGAUGUAUCUACAUGUAUUUUUGUUCUAGAUACAUCCAUAUCCGAGACAAGUAAUUCCGAACGGAGAUAGUAUAUG
rnacentral:pre_miRNA from 1 species